rnacentral:rRNA from 1 species
UACGUAGGGUGCGAGCGUUGUCCGGAAUUAUUGGGCGUAAAGAGCUCGUAAGCGGUUUGUCGCGUCGGCCGUGAAAACUUGGGGCUUAACUCCAAGCUUGCGGUCGAUACGGGCAGACUUGAGUUCGGCAGGGGAGACUGGAAUUCCUGGUGUAGCGGUGAAAUGCGCAGAUAUCAGGAGGAACACCGGUGGCGAAGGCGGGUCUCUGGGCCGAUACUGACGCUGAGGAGCGAAAGCGUGGGGAGCGAACAGG